GACGAACCGUGCAAACGUUGUUCGGAAUCACUGGGCUUAAAGGGCGCGUAGGCGGGCAAGCAAGUCGAAGGUGAAAUCCCACGGCUACAACCGUGGAAGUGCCCCCGAUACUGCUUGUCUUGAGGGAGAUAGGGGCGUGCGGAACUUCCGGUGGAGCGGUGAAAUGCGUAGAUAUCGGGAAGGAACACCGGUGGCGAAAGGCGGCGCGCUGGAUCUCUUCUGACGCUGAGGCGGCGAAAGCCAGGGGAGCAAACGGG
rnacentral:rRNA from 1 species